AUACGGAGGGUGCAAGCGUUGUUCGGAAUCACUGGGCGUAAAGGGCGCGCAGGCGGUUUGAUUAGUCAGAUGUGAAAGCCCACGGCUUAACCGUGGAAGUGCAUUUGAAACUGUCAGACUUGAGUAUCAGAGGGGAAAGUGGAAUUCCCGGUGUAGAGGUGAAAUUCGUAGAUAUCGGGAGGAAUACCGGUGGCGAAGGCGACUUUCUGGCUGAAUACUGACGCUGAGGCGCGAAAGCGUGGGGAGCAAACAGGAUUAGAUACCCUAGUAGUCC
rnacentral:rRNA from 1 species